rnacentral:rRNA from 1 species
UACAGAGGUCUCAAGCGUUGUUCGGAUUCAUUGGGCGUAAAGGGUGCGUAGGCGGCGCGGUAAGUCGGGUGUGAAAUCUCGGAGCUUAACUCCGAAACUGCAUUCGAUACUGCCGUGCUUGAGGACUGGAGAGGAGACUGGAAUUCAUGGUGUAGCAGUGAAAUGCGUAGAGAUCAUGAGGAAGACCAGUGGCGAAGGCGGGUCUCUGGACAGUUACUGACACUGAGGCACGAAGGCCAGGGGAGCAAACGGG